rnacentral:rRNA from 1 species
GCGAACGCUGGCGGCAGGCUUAACACAUGCAAGUCGAACGCACCGCAAGGUGAGUGGCAGACGGGUGAGUAACACGUGGGAACGUGCCCUCCGGUCUGGGAUAACCCUGGGAAACUAGGGCUAAUACCGGAUACGUGCUUUGGCAGAAAGGUUUACUGCCGGAGGAUCGGCCCGCGUCUGAUUAGCUAGUUGGUGGGGUAACGGCCUACCAAGGCGACGAUCAGUAGCUGGUCUGAGAGGAUGAUCAGCCACACUGGGACUGAGACACGGCCCAGACUCCUACGGGAGGCAGCAGUGGGGAAUAUUGGACAAUGGGCGCAAGCCUGAUCCAGCCAUGCCGCGUGAGUGAUGACGGCCUUAGGGUUGUAAAGCUCUUUUCUCCGGGACGAUAAUGACGGUACCGGAAGAAUAAGCCCCGGCUAACUUCGU